GGGUCAGUAGGUUGGUCGUGCCACCGGUACGUACUGGUCUCACUGAUUCCUCCUUCCUGAAGAACCGUAAUGCCAUUAAUUUGGUGUUGCGAGGAAACAGGACUGUUACUUUGAAAAAAUUAGAGUGUUUAAGGCAAGCUAACGCUUGAAUACAUUAGCAUGGAAUAAUGAAAUAGGACGAUCGAUCCUAUUUUGUUGGUUUCUAGGAUUGACGUA
rnacentral:rRNA from 1 species